rnacentral:rRNA from 1 species
AUUGAACGCUGGCGGCAUGCUUUACACAUGCAAGUCGAACGGUAACAGGCCUUCGGGUGCUGACGAGUGGCGAACGGGUGAGUAAUGCAUCGGAACGUGCCCAAUCGUGGGGGAUAACGUAGCGAAAGUUACGCUAAUACCGCAUAAGCCCUGAGGGGGAAAGCAGGGGAUCGCAAGACCUUGCGCGAAUGGAGCGGCCGAUGUCAGAUUAGCUAGUUGGUGGGGUAAAGCCUACCAAGGCGACGAUCUGUAGCGGGUCUGAGAGGAUGAUCCGCCACACUGGGACUGAGACACGGCCCAGACUCCUACGGGAGGCAGCAGUGGGGAAUUUUGGACAAUGGGCGCAAGCCUGAUCCAGCCAUGCCGCGUGCGGGACGAAGGCCUC